rnacentral:tRNA from 1 species
GGGGACGUAGCUCGAAAGGUAGAGCGCCCACUUCGCAUGUGGGAGGCUGUAAGUUCAAAUCUUACCGACUCCA